CCUACGGGAGGCAGCAGUGAGGAAUAUUGGUCAAUGGCCGAGAGGCUGAACCAGCCAAGUCGCGUGAGGGAAGACGGCCCUACGGGUUGUAAACUUCUUUUGUCGGGGAGUAAAGCGAGUCACGUGUGACUCAUUGUAUGUACCUUAUGAAAAAGCAUCGGCUAACUCCGUGCCAGCAGCCGCGGUAAUACGGAGGAUGCGAGCGUUAUCCGGAUUUAUUGGGUUUAAAGGGUGCGCAGGGGGAGGUGCAAGUCAGCGGUCAAAUUUCGGGGCUCAACCCCAUACUGCCGUUGAAACUGGAUGCCUUGAGUGCACGAGAGGUAUGCGGAAUGCGUGGUGUAGCGGUGAAAUGCAUAGAUAUCACGCAGAACUCCGAUUGCGAAGGCAGCAUACCGACGCGCAACUGACGCUCAUGCACGAAAGCGUGGGUAUCGAACAGGAUUAGAUACCCUAGUAGUC
rnacentral:rRNA from 1 species